UGGGGGAUAUUGGGCAAUGGGGGAAACCCUGACCCAGCAACGCCGCGUGAAGGAAGAAGGCCUUCGGGUUGUAAACUUCUUUGAUCAGGGAAGAAAAAAAUGACGGUACCUGAAAAACAAGCCACGGCUAACUACGUGCCAGCAGCCGCGGUAAUACGUAGGUGGCAAGCGUUAUCCGGAUUUACUGGGUGUAAAGGGCGUGUAGGCGGUCUCGCAAGUCGGAUGUGAAAUUCCCAGGCUUAACCUGGGCACUGCAACCGAAACUGCGUGACUUGAGUACUGGAGAGGAUAGUGGAAUUCCUAGUGUAGCGGUAAAAUGCGUAGAUAUUAGGAGGAACACCGGUGGCGAAGGCGACUAUCUGGACAGUAACUGACGCUGAGGCGCGAAAGCGUGGGGAGCAAACAG
rnacentral:rRNA from 1 species